rnacentral:rRNA from 1 species
CGGAGGAUGCGAGCGUUAUCCGGAUUUAUUGGGUUUAAAGGGUGCGUAGGCGGCUUUUUAAGUCAGCGGUGAAAUUUUGCAGCUUAACUGUAACAGUGCCGUUGAUACUGGGGAGCUAGGAUUUGGUUGCUGUGGGUGGAAUGUGUGGUGUAGCGGUGAAAUGCUUAGAGAUCACACAGAAUAUCGAUUGCGAAGGCAGCUCACAAAGCCAAGAUUGACGCUGAGGCACGAAAGUGUGGGGAUCAAACAGGAUUA